rnacentral:rRNA from 1 species
UACGGAGGGUGCAAGCGUUAUUCGGAAUUACUGGGUUUAAAGGGUGCGUAGGCGGUUAAAUAAGUUGUCAGUGAAAGGCUACGGCUCAACUGUAGUAGUGCUGGCGAUACUGUAUAACUAAGGACAUGGGAGGGGUACCUGGAAUGUGUGGUGUAGCGGUGAAAUGCGUAGAUAUCACACAGAACACCGGAGGCAAAGGCGGGGUACUAGACCAUAGUUGACGCUGAGGCACGAAAGCGUGGGGAUCAAACAGGAUUAGAUACCCUGGUAGUCCACGCCCUAAACGAUGAUCACUAGAUAUUGGCGACAGACAGUCAGUGUCCAAGCGAAAGUGAUAAGUGAUCCACCUGGGGAAUACGGCCGCAAGGUUAAA